CCUAUGCAACAGAGCUGUCAGCAUCAGCCAACACUUCCCUGGGAGCCCAGUCCGCCUUCCUCCCAGAAUGCUACCCUAAUACACACUGCUGUAGUACAGGUGAUCACAGGCACAGACCUUUUUUUUUUGGUUCUUUUUUUCAGAGCUGGGGACCGAACCCAGGGCCUUGCGCUUCCUAGGUAAGCGCUCUACCACUGAGCUAAAUCCCCAGCCCCACAGGCACAGACCUUUUGGGACCCUAAAGCCUACCCUAAGCAGGGUGGUCCAGUGACAACAAGACUGAACUUAAAAGUCUCUAAAGCUGCAAGGUCCUGCUGGCCUGGGCCUGCAAUGCAGAGGAAAGUGGAGGAGGUGCCUGUCAGCCUCUGGGUUUGAGAAACCUGAAGAUGGCAUACGUUUCAGCCAAACCUACAAUUUCUGCAACAACAGACAGGAUUUCUGGGCUGGAGAGAUGGCUCAGCGGUUAAGAGCACCCGACUACUCUUCCAGAGGUCCUGAGUUCAAUUCCCAGCAACCACAUGGUGGCUCACAACCAUCUGUAAAGAGAUCCGAUGCCCUCUUCUGGUGUGUCUGAAGACAGCUACAGUGCACUUAUAUAUAAUAAAUGAAUAAAAAAAAAAAAAAAAAAAAGACAGGAUUUCUCUGUGUAGCCCUGGCUGUCCUGGAACUCACAGAGAUUCUCCUGCCUCUGCCUCCCAAAUGCUGGGAUUAAAGGCGUGAUCCCUGCUCACCCCUCAACCCCAGCAGAAUUGGUCACUGUCAAGCACUCAGCAGUUACUAACAUAGUAAAACUGGUCUGUCACCUCAAUCCUAAGUACUCACCCACACAAAGGAAAACAUUUGUGAACGUUUACAAGCCAAAGGUAGAAAACCCUCCUCAGCCCUGGACGGUGAGAUGGUAGUGCUUCCUGCCACCACUGUCAGACAGAAUCAGGCACCAAUCACUAAUCACUGUAUGUCACAUGACUUCAUCUAGUGACAUCUGGAAAGAACCGUUAAUAAUGUAGCUCCCGUUGAACAAAGAUGACACAUUAUGGGGGCAAGGCCCCCUCUCCAGCCUGCCAGGAGCAUAUGACUGCACACACCUGUCACAACUCAGCAGAAUUCCACACAUAGAUGACUGCAGGGAUGUGGGCCCACUGCAGUUUAAAGGAGAAGCCUCCCCAUAGCAGAGCCCAGUCUGUGUGGUGCUUCUCCUCAAUGGGUCCUACAUGGAUAACCCUUACCUAAGGCUGAGGAGCUGCUGUCAAAAAGAGCCCUCCCUGGGGCUGGGGAUUUAGCUCAGUGGUAGAGCGCUUGCCUAGGAAGCGCAAGGCCCUGGGUUCGGUCUCCAGCUCCGAAAAAAAGAACCAAAAAAAAAAAAAAAAAAAAAGAAGAGCCCUCCCUGCUCAGCUCUACCUGUACAUGGGGACAAGGCACGAGGCUUCCUCCCGACCUGCAGAGCCUCCCCAUCCAGACUGGUGCCCUUAUAACUUGACACACAGCAGCCACAGGAUCCACACCACUUGGGACAAAAAGCUCACAGAAAGGGGCUGCUGACUGAGUUCGAAGCAUAGACGGUGCUAGGAGCCAGGCUUGGUGGACAGCCCCUCCUCCUCCAGCUGGGGCAAGGAUGGCUGUAGCUGGGAGUCCAGAAAGCCAGGGUCUGAAUCUCACCACCUCUCUAGCUGCCUGACAACUUUGAAUAAGGAGUCAGCUGGGUGCCACUCCAGGGGAUGUCAAGGUUAAGCCUGUGGGACUGACAGAUAAGGGACUGCAUGUCUGACAUCUC